CGCCUGGGCGGCAGCCUACCAUGCAAGUCGAGCGGUAACAGAAAGUAGCUUGCUACUUUGCUGACGAGCGGCGGACGGGUGAGUAAUGCUUGGGAACAUGCCUUGAGGUGGGGGACAACAGUUGGAAACGACUGCUAAUACCGCAUAAUGUCUACGGACCAAAGGGGGCUUCGGCUCUCGCCUUUAGAUUGGCCCAAGUGGGAUUAGCUAGUUGGUGAGGUAAUGGCUCACCAAGGCGACGAUCCCUAGCUGGUUUGAGAGGAUGAUCAGCCACACUGGGACUGAGACACGGCCCAGACUCCUACGGGAGGCAGCAGUGGGGAAUAUUGCACAAUGGGCGCAAGCCUGAUGCAGCCAUGCCGCGUGUGUGAAGAAGGCCUUCGGGUUGUAAAGCACUUUCAGUCAGGAGGAAAGGUUAGUAGUUAAUACCUGCUAGCUGUGACGUUACUGACAGAAGAAGCACCGGCUAACUCCGUGCCAGCAGCCGCGGUAAUACGGAGGGUGCGAGCGUUAAUCGGAAUUACUGGGCGUAAAGCGUACGCAGGCGGUUUGUUAAGCGAGAUGUGAAAGCCCCGGGCUCAACCUGGGAACUGCAUUUCGAACUGGCAAACUAGAGUGUGAUAGAGGGUGGUAGAAUUUCAGGUGUAGCGGUGAAAUGCGUAGAGAUCUGAAGGAAUACCGAUGGCGAAGGCAGCCACCUGGGUCAACACUGACGCUCAUGUACGAAAGCGUGGGGAGCAAACGGGAUUAGAUACCCCGGUAGUCCACGCCGUAAACGAUGUCUACUAGAAGCUCGGAGCCUCGGUUCUGUUUUUCAAAGCUAACGCAUUAAGUAGACCGCCUGGGGAGUACGGCCGCAAGGUUAAAACUCAAAUGAAUUGACGGGGGCCCGCACAAGCGGUGGAGCAUGUGGUUUAAUUCGAUGCAACGCGAAGAACCUUACCUACACUUGACAUACAGAGAACUUACCAGAGAUGGUUUGGUGCCUUCGGGAGCUCUGAUACAGUGCUGCAUGGCUGUCGUCAGCUCGUGUUGUGAGAUGUUGGGUUAAGUCCCGCAACGAGCGCAAAC
rnacentral:rRNA from 1 species